GAUGAACGCUGGCGGCGUGCCUAAUACAUGCAAGUCGAGCGAACGGACGAGAAGCUUGCUUCUCUGAUGUUAGCGGCGGACGGGUGAGUAACACGUGGAUAACCUACCUAUAAGACUGGGAUAAAUUCGGGAAAACGGAGCUAAUACCGGAUAAUAUUUUGAACCGCAUGGUUCAAAAGUGAAAGACGGUCUUGCUGUCACUUAUAGCUGGAUCCGCGCUGCAUUAGCUAGUUGGUAAGGUAACGGCUUACCAAGGCAACGAUGCAUAGCCGACCUGAGAGGGUGAUCGGCCACACUGGAACUGAGACACGGUCCAGACUCCUACGGGAGGCAGCAGUAGGGAAUCUUCCGCAAUGGGCGAAAGCCUGACGGAGCAACGCCGCGUGAGUGAUGAAGGUCUUCGGAUCGUAAAACUCUGUUAUUAGGGAAGAACAUAUGUGUAAGUAACUGUGCACAUCUUGACGGUACCUAAUCAGAAAGCCACGGCUAACUACGUG
rnacentral:rRNA from 1 species